GCCGGGGUGGCGGAACAGGCAGACGCACAGGACUUAAAAUCCUGCGGUCCUUUGGGAUCGUACCAGUUCGAUUCUGGUCCUCGGCACCA
rnacentral:tRNA from 1 species